GGAGAGGUGGCCGAGUGGUCGAAGGCGCACGCCUGGAAAGUGUGUAGGCGGGAAACCGUCUCCAGGGUUCGAAUCCCUGUNNCCUGUCUCUCCGCCA
rnacentral:tRNA from 1 species